CAAGGGAUAGUUUAAUUAAGAAUACUAGCUUUGGGAGUUAGUGGUGGGGGUUCAAAUCCCCCUUCUUUGA
rnacentral:tRNA from 1 species